ensembl:lncRNA
ACGCUGUAGAGUUUCCCCUCUGCACACCGUGGCCAUGACUUUGGCAGUCCCGGGCGGCGGCAGCGGCUCUCCCGUCUCCACGCACCUGAUAGCGGACUGAAAGGGGGAAGCUAACACCGGGGAGAGGCUUUAGCAGACGCCGACCGAGACGAUUUUCCAGACGGGUGUCAGAACUGUUCAUCUAUUUCAAGGAAGACGCUCUGCCACCUAAUGUUUUUGCCAACAAAGAAGACUGGGCUUCAUCUUCAAAGCACCAGCUAAUCCACCACUCGUCUUGCAGGCCAGUCAGAGUGGAGCAGGUUAAGUGUGAUGAUGGACUUCAGGGCCUAUUUUUUGUCGUCUCCAUGCUGCCUUAGACAUUCAUCUAAUGGCCCUCUAAUGGAGACGCUUUCUGCACCACAAAGACCCUCCUCUCACCCCGCUGCUGUAGCUUUUCUUGCUGUGCCUUUGAUCCUUAUUGUGACAGGGUUCAGACAGCUGUUGCCUUCUGCGGGGUAUUAUGGGUGGACCAAAGCUGGCACAGUUUUCUGCUCCAAAGUGCACCUACACAGGCUGGAAAUAGUAGGCAUGUUUGUCUGCGGGGGCAAAAGUACAUGAUGUUCUGAAGUUGGUGCGUACAGUAUGCCCUGUGAUCCAUGGAAAUAAAGGUAAACAAAGAGUGAAAACAAAA